UCUCGGCUUAUCACCGGCAGUCCCCUUAGAGUGCUCAACUAAAUGGUAGCAACUAAGGAUGGUAUUGCUACCUCGUUGGGCUUUCACCCUUCUACUACCUGCAUGUCCAGCCUGGGUAAGGUUCUUCGCGUUGCGUCGAAUUAAACCACAUGCUCCGCUGCUUGUGCGGGCCCCCGUCAAUUCCUUUGAGUUUUAGCCUUGCGGCCGUACUCCCCAGGCGGGGUGCUUAAUGCGUUAGCUUCGGCACGGACGGAGUCGACACCGCCCACACCUAGCACCCAUCGUUUACGGCGUGGACUAC
rnacentral:misc_RNA from 1 species